rnacentral:rRNA from 1 species
AGCGAACGCUGGCGGCAGGCCUAACACAUGCAAGUCGAACGGAUCCUUCGGGAUUAGUGGCGGACGGGUGAGUAACACGUGGGAACGUGCCCUUUGGUUCGGAACAACUCAGGGAAACUUGAGCUAAUACCGGAUGUGCCCUUCGGGGGAAAGAUUUAUCGCCAUUGGAGCGGCCCGCGUCUGAUUAGCUAGUUGGUGAGGUAACGGCCCACCAAGGCGACGAUCAGUAGCUGGUCUGAGAGGAUGAUCAGCCACACUGGGACUGAGACACGGCCCAGACUCCUACGGGAGGCAGCAGUGGGGAAUCUUGCGCAAUGGGCGAAAGCCUGACGCAGCCAUGCCGGGUGAAUGAUGAAGGUCUUAGGAUUGUAAAAUUCUUUCAGCGGGGACGAUAAUGACGGUACCCGCAGAAGAAGCGCCGGCUAACUUCGUG